UACGGAGGGGACUAGCGUUGUUCGGAAUUACUGGGCGUAAAGCGCACGUAGGCGGAUUGUUAAGUCAGGGGUGAAAUCCCGAGGCUCAACCUCGGAACUGCCUUUGAUACUGGCAAUCUCGAGUCCGGAAGAGGUGAGUGGAAUUCCUAGUGUAGAGGUGAAAUUCGUAGAUAUUAGGAAGAACACCAGUGGCGAAGGCGGCUCACUGGCCCGGUACUGACGCUGAGGUGCGAAAGCGUGGGGAGCAAACAGG
rnacentral:rRNA from 1 species